GUGCUGAUGAAGAGUCCCAAACUAGGACGAAACAGUUGUCCAGUAC
rfam:Trichobilharzia regenti genome assembly, scaffold: TRE_scaffold0036341